rnacentral:rRNA from 1 species
AAACGGCCGCGGUACCCUAACCGUGCAAAGGUAGCAUAAUCAUUUGCCUUUUAAUUGGAGGCUGGUAUGAAUGGUUUGACGAGAGCUAUGCUGUCUCUUUCGAAAUAUUUAAAAAUUAACUUUUAGGUAAAGAGGCCUAAAUUUGUUUAAGGGACAAGAAGACCCUGUUGAGCUUUAGCGAUCUUGUAAAUUUUUGUGCAGUUUGCUUAUAUUUGUAUAUUUGUAUAUAACAUAAGUUUAUAGGUAAUCUUUAGUUGGGGCGACUGAGGAACAUGAAAAGCUUCCUUGAACUUAAGAGUGUGUUAAACAAUUAGUUUAUUGAUGCGUUUAUGUUAAUUUUGAUCCAAUUUAUUUUGAUUAAGAGAAAAAGUUACCACAGGGAUAACAGCGUAAUCUUUCUGGAGAGAUCUAAUCGAAAGAAGGGUUUGCGACCUCG